CCUAUAUGGAGAGUUUGAUCCUGGCUCAGGACGAACGCUGGCGGCGUGCCUAAUACAUGCAAGUCGAGCGGAUCUCUGAUGGAGCUUGCUCCUGAUGAGAUCAGCGGCGGACGGGUGAGUAACACGUAGGCAACCUGCCCUGAAGACCGGGAUAACAUUCGGAAACGAAUGCUAAGACCGGAUAGGCAACGAGGUCGCAUGAUCUUGUUGAGAAACACGGUGCAAGCUGUGGCUUUGGGA
rnacentral:rRNA from 1 species